UUGACCGAGUAGUCCCAGAGCGCGUCGCUCUGCCGGACGGCCUCGUCGCCGAGGUGGUCGCCGUCGGCCAGCACGCCGAGCACGGUGGUGUGGCCGUACUUGCCGCUGCCGAUCUUGUUGACCUUGCCGUGCGCGAUCAGGAACACCUCCUCGAUCGGCUGCCCGGCCUCGACGAGCACCUCACCGGCCGCGAAGUCCCGCUGGGUGAACCGGCCCGCCAGCUCCUCCAGCACCGCGUCGUCCUCGAAGCCGCGCAGCACGGGCACCUCGCGCAGCGACGGCGGAACGAUCCUGACCUCCGCACCGGUCUUCACAAAGCUCACCCGGCCGCGCCCGACCGCAUAACUGAGCCGGCGGUUCACCCGGUAGGUACCACCGGAGACCUGCACCCACGGCAGCAUCUUGAGCAGCCAGCGGGAGCUGAUGCCCUGCAUCUGCGGCUCGGACUUGGUGGUCGUGGCCAGAUUCCGAGCGCCGGCCGUGCCGAGGCUGGUCUGCUGCCGGUUCUG
rnacentral:antisense_RNA from 1 species